rnacentral:lncRNA from 1 species
AAAGAAUGUCUAGAGUGCUGGAAACAUCGCCUCUCCUUGUCUUCUCAGAUACCGGCAAAGUCUCUAAUAAAUUGCCAGAAUUUCACAAGUGAAUCAUGAGGAGGAUGUGAUGUUUUUAAAUGAGACAAGAUCACACUCAGGCACCUAUACUGGUCUGAGAUUCACAGUGUAGCUGAUGUGAACCGUGGACUCACAGCAAUACUCCUGCCUCAUCUUCCAGAGUACUAGGAUUAGACAGUGUUCUUGUCCAGUGUUG